rnacentral:misc_RNA from 1 species
UAGACAAUGUCAUGUGGUAGCACAAUGAGAACACAUUCAUACUUAAUAUCACAUGACAGCACAACGGGAAUACAUUCAUACUUUAUAUAAAUAUAUAAAUAUAAAUUUGGCCUAAGAUCCACAUAAAUGCUAGAGCUAUCUGGAAAAUGGAGGAAGCAGUCCCAUGCACACCACCGCCUGUUGGAAGGAGUAGCAAACUCUUCAGAAAAAGGCACAAAAUAGUCUUCACCCAAAGAUCUGCCUUUCUAGCACCGAACCAAGGCCAUAGAAGAUUAACUGAGCACAAAAACUCAAUGAUCUACGGGAAAGUGGACCAGCAGAGCUCGCUCAACUUCAACUUUGAGGGUUAGGUGGCCUUCAGAUGGCAUGGCUAUAGGACCCCUAAGGUGCAGAACCUCAUGACAUCACAGCACCCUCCCUCAUGAUACAGCCAAGGAACCCAGAGCUUCAACUCUCUCCAAGUCAUAGUCGAUUCCUUCAGAGAAUACACCAUAAAAGAAACCAUAAACACAGAUCUCAUGCAAGCAUCCUCUCUCAAAGAAACCCAGAUCUAUGAACUAAAUAUGUGGACAAACAAUGUUUACAACCCUAUCACGGUGAGGGGACAGUGAAAAACCCACAUUACCAGUCAGGAAGGAGCUCCCCCUGUUUGGAAGGGGCAAGUGAAGCUAUAGGUGUUGGUAGAAGAAACUAGCCGAG